rnacentral:rRNA from 1 species
GGCUAAGCUACUAAGGGCGUACGGUGGAUGCCUAGGCACUGGAAGGCGAUGAAGGACGUGGUAAGCUGCGAUAAGCUACGGGGAGGUGCAAACAACCGUAGAUCCGGAGAUUUCCGAAUGGGGUAACCCGGCGCGGUUAAUACCGUGUCAUCCCACUGAAUCCAUAGGCGGUGAGAGGCGAACCCGGGGAACUGAAACAUCUAAGUACCCGGAGGAAAAGAAAGCAACAGCGAUUCCCUCAGUAGCGGCGAGCGAACGGGGAACAGCCUAAACCUGCUGCAUGUAAGCCUGCACGCGUUGUGCAGCAGGGGUCGUGGGAUCCACUGUGGAAGAGGUGCAGCUCCUUCGGGAAGUUACCAACCAUCUACCUAAUCGAAGUGGCAUGGAAAGGCCCGCCAAAGAAGGUGAUAGCCCUGUAGAUGAAAGGUACGAUGGCUUCCUAAGUGGACUCCCGAGUACCGCGGGACACGUGGAACCCUGUGGGAAUCUGGGAGGACCAUCUCCUAAGGCUAAAUACUCCCUCGUGACCGAUAGUGAACUAGUACCGUGAGGGAAAGGUGAAAAGCACCCCUGGCAGGGGAGUGAAAUAGAACCUGAAACCGUACGCCUACAAGCAGUCGGAGUCUGCCUUCGGGCGGAUGACGGCGUGCCUUUUGCAUAAUGAGCCGGCGAGUUACUCGUAUGCUGCAAGGUUAAUCCGCUCAGCGGAGAAGCCGGAGCGAAAGCGAGUCUGAAUAGGGCGUUCAGUAGCAUGGGGUAGACGCGAAGCCGAGUGAUCUACCCAUGGCCAGGUUGAAGCGUGCGGUAACACGUCGUGGAGGACCGAACCAGUAACGUUGAAAAGUGCUUGGGAUGAGCUGUGGGUAGGGGUGAAAGGCCAAUCAAACUCGGGAGAUAGCUCGUUCUCCCCGAAAUAGCUUUAGGGCUAGCCUCGGAUUAGAGUCACGGAGGUAGAGCACUGAAUGGGCUAGGGCCCUCACCAGGGUACCAAACCCAACCAAACUCCGAAUGCCGUUGACUCGUUGUCCGGGAGUCAGGCUAUGAGGGAUAAGCUUCAUAGCCGAGAGGGAAACAACCCAGACCGUCGGCUAAGGUCCCCAAGUGUAUGCUAAGUGAGAAAGGAUGUGAGACUGCUCAGACAGCUAGGAUGUUGGCUUAGAAGCAGCCAUCAUUUAAAGAGUGCGUAAUAGCUCACUGGUCGAGUGGUCUUGCGCCGAUAAUGUACCGGGACUCAAGCAUAGUACCGAAGCUGCGGAUUGCAAUCGACUUCGGUGUGCGAGUGGUAGGAGAGCGUUCUAUUAGCGAUGCGAAGGUCGACCGUAAGGGCGGCUGGAGGCGACUAGAAAUGAUUAUGCCGGCAUAAGUAGCGAUAAUGCGGGUGAGAAACCUGCUCGCCGUAAGCCUAAGGUUUCCUGAGUAAAGUUAAUCUGCUCAGGGUUAGUCGGACCCUAAGCCGAGGCCGAAAGGCGUAGGCGAUGGGAAACGGGUCAACAUUCCCGUACCACUCUGGGUUCGUUUGAGCGAUGGGGUGACGCAGGAGUGAAGGUCAGCUCCGUGUUGGAAUACGGAGUCCAAGCAUGUAGGAGGUCUUCCCAGGCAAAUCCGGGAAGGCAACUCCGAGAUGCGAUGGGGAAAUGAGGCUUAUGCCAAACCAACUGACCGUAAGCACACUGCCGAGAAAAACCUCUAAGCGAGAAAUCAUAGGUGACCGUACCGUAAACCGACACAGGUAGGCGAGGAGAGUAUCCUAAGGCGCUCGAGAGAACUCUGGUUAAGGAACUCGGCAAAUUGACCCCGUAACUUCGGGAGAAGGGGUGCCCCGAGUAGGUGAAGUCCUUCGCGGAUGGAGCUGAAAGGGGUCGCAGUGACCAGGCCCAGGCGACUGUUUACCAAAAACACAGGUCUCUGCGAAGUCGUAAGACGACGUAUAGGGACUGACACCUGCCCGGUGCCGGAAGGUUAAGGGGAGGGGUUAGCCGCUUCAGGCGGAAGCUCUGAACCGAAGCCCCGGUAAACGGCGGCCGUAACUAUAACGGUCCUAAGGUAGCGAAAUUCCUUGUCGGGUAAGUUCCGACCUGCACGAAUGGUGUAACGACUUGGGCACUGUCUCGACCAGAGGCUCGGCGAAAUUGUAGUCCCGGUGAAGAUGCCGGGUACCCGCAACGGGACGGAAAGACCCCGUGAACCUUUACUACAGCUUAGCAUUGUAUUUCGGCAUGGCAUGUGUAGGAUAGGUGGGAGGCUGUGAAGCCCGGACGCCAGUUCGGGUGGAGCCGUCCUUGAAAUACCACCCUUGCAUUGUUGGAAUACUAACUCCGCGCCGUGAAUCCGGUGCGAGGACAGUGUCAGGUGGGUAGUUUGACUGGGGCGGUCGCCUCCCAAAAGGUAACGGAGGCGUCCAAAGGUUCCCUCAGCACGGUUGGUAAUCGUGCGUAGAGUGCAAAGGCAUAAGGGAGCUUGACUGCGAGACAUACAGGUCGAGCAGAUGCGAAAGCAGGGCUUAGUGAUCCGGCGGUUCGGUAUGGAAGGGCCGUCGCUCAACGGAUAAAAGGUACUCCGGGGAUAACAGGCUGAUCGCGCCCAAGAGUUCACAUCGACGGCGCGGUUUGGCACCUCGAUGUCGGCUCAUCGCAUCCUGGGGCUGGAGAAGGUCCCAAGGGUUUGGCUGUUCGCCAAUUAAAGCGGUACGUGAGCUGGGUUCAGAACGUCGUGAGACAGUUCGGUCCCUAUCUGUUGCGGGCGUAGGAUAUUUGAGGGGAUGCUGCUCUUAGUACGAGAGGACCGGAGUGGACGAACCUCUAGUGUACCAGUUGUCGCGCCAGCGGCAUCGCUGGGUAGCUAUGUUCGGAAGGGAUAAGCGCUGAAAGCAUCUAAGCGCGAAGCCCACCCCAAGAUGAGAGAUCCCUUCCACCUUCGGGUGGACUGAAGGCCCCUUGUAGAUGACGAGGUUGAUAGGCCGCAGGUGUAAGCGCAGCAAUGCGUUGAGCCGAGCGGUACUAAUCGGCCGUGAGGCUUAGCCAA